CGCUUCCUGCAGUGUUCGAUAGCGGCGUUAUGUCCUUGAGCCGAUAUUCGUCACUACCGGCGAGUAUGCGUCGUCUGGUGUUGUGCAAGUCCGUUUCGACCGGAAAGCCUGAUCCAGUGCCAUGCUUGCCACCUUGGAGCCUAGGGUUCCAGGGCUACACCCGCAACGGCACAGGUGGGAAGCGU
rnacentral:other from 1 species